rnacentral:lncRNA from 1 species
UGAUAAUUAUCCUAAGCCUCCGUUUGGUUCGGGGUUAAGGAAAAAGUAGCUAUACCAGGGAUAGGGUUAAGUUCGGGGUUAAAAUGGUGUUAAAAUUUUUUUGUGUUUGGUUGGAGUAGGUGGGAUAAAAAGAUAAUGAUUGAUAAAUAAGAAAAAAGGUGAGGGCUCGGGAUGCGUGCGGGGUUAAAGUUGGGAAGGGGAGUGGGGUUAAUGAUUGAUAAAGAAGAAAAAGGUGAGAGCUCGGGAUGCGUGCGGGGUUAAAGUUGGGAAGGGGGUGGGGUUAGUAAACCCCACCCUUUUUUCAUGGUGUUUGGGUAUAAAUUGGGGGUUAAGGGGUUAUUCCACC